rnacentral:lncRNA from 1 species
GGCACUCUAAUAGUCAAGUAAAGGACUGAUUUAAAACAGCUGUGUUUUUUCACCACCACCUGCUGCAACAAUGCAACUUUAUACUUACCAAGCAGCAUACAGUUCACAGUGUGAAUGUAUGUACUAUUUUUUUUUCUUCCGGAGUUUAAAAGCCAAGUGCAAAGCUGAUUCUUCAAGUAGUUCUUCUAUUGGCAUACAGUCAUAUUCCCUCCAGCCCUGGUUUAGGCCCCUGUGUUAAGCUGAAGUAAUAAAUGCAUGGUGAAAUGGUUUAGUCUUGGAGAUGAAACAGGUACACGGCAGAGGGACUAUAGAAAUCUUACAGCAAGAGCAUUCAGCACAUAAGGACUUAAAUUUCUAUUAUUCUGCUUUUCUAGCUGAUGUCAAAGGUUUCCCAAUACCAUCCAAUAUAAUAUCAUUGAAUUUUCACUCAUAGUGAUGAAAAAUGUCUGUGAGACACAAGAGAAAGCAUAUCACAAAGGACAAAACGUCUUUAUUGUGAAUUGUUGAAUGGCAAAUACGGGGAGCAAGAAGCAGAAAGGUUACAAACGAAGCUGUAGCAGCUAAGUCACGAAGAGAAUCAGAGAAUCGUUAAGGCUGGAAAAGACCUCCAGGAUCACCCGAUCCGUGUAAGAGCACAUGUCAGAAAUCCCUUUCAGCUGUGGCGCUGAAGGAGCUGGCUGAGCAGUUGGGAGCCCAGGUGCUGGGUUCGCUGGGCGCAGCAGGCAGCCUGCCCUCCCCGGGCUGCAGCGGGCGCUGAGCUCCACCUGCUCCCCAGCGCCUUGACCGGGACCCCCCCGCUCCACCCCGCUCCCCUGGGGGCCCCUCUCCCCGUCCCUCCCCAGCCUCCCCCAUCCCUAUCGCCGUGUCCAGCCGACGGCGGGAGCCGCGGGGCUCAUCCCCGGCAGCUCCAUCCCGGGAGAAGCGACGAGACGGGACCGUGGGGAGCCCUCCCGAGCCCCCCCGGCCCCCUACCCGCGGGGGCGUGCCGGCACAAGCCAGGCGGGGGCCGGGCCGGGAGACGCCGGAGCUGGAGCUGGUCCCGGUGCCGGUCCCGGUGCCGCCGCUGCUGGGGGGGGGGGAGGCGGCGCCCGCCCCGCGCCCCCGCGCCCCGCCCGUCCCCGGCGGCAGCAGCAGCGGCCUCGGCACCCCCGGCAGCUCGGCCGGCAGCUCCAGCCCCAGCACCAUGGACCUCUCCUUCAUGGCCGCGCAGAUUACAGCCACCACAGUGGGAGAAGAGAGGUGGCUUAUCCCUGAAUCCUCUCCUGCUUAGCAGCCUCCAUAGCACACCUGCAGACAGCCAGGAGGGGUGUAGUUUGGUACCAAAGGCAGCAUCAAAAUGUAAUGCAAGAGCUGAAGGACACAGUGUUGAAAAACACUGA